AUUGAACGCUGGCGGCAGGCCUAACACAUGCAAGUCGAGCGGUAGAGAGGUGCUUGCAUCUCUUGAGAGCGGCGGACGGGUGAGUAAUGCCUAGGAAUCUGCCUAGUGGUGGGGGAUAACGUUCGGAAACGGACGCUAAUACCGCAUACGUCCUACGGGAGAAAGCGGGGGAUCUUCGGACCUCGCGCCAUUAGAUGAGCCUAGGUCGGAUUAGCUAGUUGGUGAGGUAAUGGCUCACCAAGGCGACGAUCCGUAACUGGUCUGAGAGGAUGAUCAGUCACACUGGAACUGAGACACGGUCCAGACUCCUACGGGAGGCAGCAGUGGGGGAAUAUUGGACAAUGGGCGGAAAGCCUGAUCCAGCCAUGCCGCGUGUGUGAAGAAGGUCUUCGGAUUGUAAAGCACUUUAAGUUGGGAGGAAGGGUAGUAACC
rnacentral:rRNA from 1 species